CCCUCCUCAGCCACCACAAUCUAAUUUGUUGAUCUCCUUCUUCCCCGUUGUCGACGUUCUUGUUGGGCUAUCCACAAACCACAGACCAUUUUCUCCAGACAGCUACAGCAUCAUUCGUCCUUCUCCUCGUUGGCCUAUCAGCAACCACAAAGCAAUUUCUGCAACUGCAUGAAAACUAAUUAAGGGGAUUAGGAUUUAGAUCUGUUUGGCAUCGAUUUUGCAGUAGUAAUCACCGGAUGUAGUAUUCCAUCGAAGGAAAAAUCAGUCGAGAUCCACCGCAUCGACGCCUCCAAUAUAUCCGUGUUAAUCGGCGCCAUAAACGGCAGCAACAAGCAAAAGGCACGAAUACGAUGCAAGAGACAUGGAAAAGAGUUCGUGAUGUGACUCCAAGCAAAAGUGGAAGUUCAUGCAGUUCAGACGAGUAAUUUAUGUCGGAGGACAUUGUUUUGAUCUAGCUAUAUGGGUGUUCUGGUACUUUAAUUUCUCAAAAAUGGAUAGAACUUUUCUCUGGGCCACUUGACCGAGUUAUUUUAGGAAGAACUCAUAUAAGGUUUGCUGUCAAAUUUUGCUGUGGAUGUAACUAAUGAGGACCUCAGCAUGUCGAGUUAAGAUGGAGUACAUCAUUAACCAAUGAAGCAGAAUAUAUUAGCAUCAUCUGAAGUGGGCUAAACUUUUAGCUACUUGUUAAUGAUGUGAACAAAUGUGGAAUGUUAAAAACGAACAUUUUAUAGGAUCAUGAGCAGGGUGUUAAUUCAGAAGAAGCCCCAGAAGAAAUGUAAAAUGGCCUUUUGUUGGCCUCUUGACUGCUUGAAAGGAGAAUUUGUUAUUUUCAUUUA